rnacentral:rRNA from 1 species
GACGAACGCUGGCGGCGUGCUUAACACAUGCAAGUCGAACGGAAAGGCCCUGCUUUUGUGGGGUGCUCGAGUGCCGAACGGGUGAGUAACACGUGAGUAACCUGCCCUUGACUUUGGGAUAACUUCAGGAAACUGGGGCUAAUACCGGAUAGGAGCUCCUGCUGCAUGGUGGGGGGUGGAAAGUUUCGGCGGUUGGGGAUGGACUCGCGGCUUAUCAGCUUGUUGGUGGGGUAGUGGCUUACCAAGUCUUUGACGGGUAGCCGGCCUGAGAGGGUGACCGGCCACAUUGGGACUGCGAUACGGCCCAGACUCGUACGGGAGGCAGCAGUGGGGAAUAUUGCACAAUGGGCGGAAGCCUGAUGCAGCAGCGCCGCGUGCGGGAUGACGGCCUUCGGGUUGUGAACCGCUUUCGCCUGUGACGAAGCGUGAGUGACGGUAAUGGGUAAAGAAGCACCGGCUAACUACGUG